rnacentral:rRNA from 1 species
CAGUCGAGGGGCAGCAUGAACUUAGCUUGCUAAGUUUGAUGGCGACCGGCGCACGGGUGAGUAACACGUAUCCAACCUGCCGAUGACUCGGGGAUAGCCUUUCGAAAGAAAGAUUAAUACCCGAUGGCAUAGUUCUUCCGCAUGGUAGAACUAUUAAAGAAUUUCGGUCAUCGAUGGGGAUGCGUUCCAUUAGGUUGUUGGCGGGGUAACGGCCCACCAAGCCUUCGAUGGAUAGGGGUUCUGAGAGGAAGGUCCCCCACAUUGGAACUGAGACACGGUCCAAACUCCUACGGGAGGCAGCAGUGAGGAAUAUUGGUCAAUGGACGAGAGUCUGAACCAGCCAAGUAGCGUGAAGGAUGACUGCCCUAUGGGUUGUAAACUUCUUUUAUACGGGAAUAAAGUGAGGCACGCGUGCCUUUUUGUAUGUACCGUAUGAAUAAGGAUCGGCUAACUCCGUGCCAGCAGCCGCGGUAAUACGGAGGAUCCGAGCGUUAUCCGGAUUUAUUGGGUUUAAAGGGAGCGUAGGCGGACGCUUAAGUCAGUUGUGAAAGUUUGCGGCUCAACCGUAAAAUUGCAGUUGAUACUGGGUGUCUUGAGUACAGUAGAGGCAGGCGGAAUUCGUGGUGUAGCGGUGAAAUGCUUAGAUAUCACGAAGAACUCCGAUUGCGAAGGCAGCCUGCUGGACUGUAACUGACGCUGAUGCUCGAAAGUGUGGGUAUCAAACAGGAUUAGAUACCCUGGUAGUCCACACAGUAAACGAUGAAUACUCGCUGUUUGCGAUAUACAGUAAGCGGCCAAGCGAAAGCGUUAAGUAUUCCACCUGGGGAGUACGCCGGCAACGGUGAAAACUCAAGGAAUUGACGGGGGCCCGCACAAGCGGAGGAACAUGUGGUUUAAUUCGAUGAUACGCGAGGAACCUU